ensembl:lncRNA
GUGGGUACGCGUCCCUGCUGACUCCUCUCACCCCAGAGGGCCAAGGCGGGCUCGUGGAGCCUCCGCCCUGAUGGUGCCCUCGUCGGGGCUGCUGAGGACAGAGGGGGAGGCGGGCGGGGUGGGAGCCCGAUUGGCCGCCUGCUGCCCAGCCUGCCCUCAGCCGCACGAGCAGACCUUCAGGCCGCAGGGCGUAACUUUGAUGAGUCCAGAAUCUCGAGAUGACAGAAGGCCAGGGGUAAGGGAACAGGGUUGGGAGUUCUUUAUAACCAUCCAAAGAGCCUCACUGUGUAGUCUGCAGGUGGCUGCGGGGUGCCCAACCUCCCGGAGGAAGAGUGUGAUGGAAAUGCACAGCCUGCUUCUUGCAGGGAGCCGCCUCUUGGGUGGGGCCCGCCGCUGGCCCCCCCUCUCCUUCCCAUCUCUUCCCCAGCUGCUCUCUUCAAAGGCAUUCUGGUCGUCAUCUUCAUACCAUUCAAAAAAGCCUUUCUGACUUUUCUGGCUAAAUAGAAAUCUAAACAAACUUCAGUCUCAUGCAAAAAAGCUUUUCCAGCUAAACAGAAUUCUAAACAAGUUUCAGUCCGCUUUUAGUGUCAGAGCCGGUGAACUGGGAGUAGGUAACACAGAUAAUCCCACAUUGAUGUCGUCUGUGGAAUAUGAAAGAACCCCCCCACACACACACCUCUUUUCGUCCCUAGUCGUUCCUUCCACAUGCAUCCACCAUGUCCAGCUGACAGCAGGAAGUUCAUGUCUUUCUAAAGACUUGUGUCUCUUCCUCUUACACGAUACGCUCCAGCCAGAGCUGCAAUAAAAUUCUAUGCGGUGCGUUUUCUGUCUUUUUCUUCCCUGAAGCUGGACAUGUGUUCCUAUCCCCUCAUGGUGUUCCUUGUUUCUGUGAGGACCCGCCUUUCUUCAGAUGCGCACUGCUGACUUUUCAGACUGAUUCCUGGGUUCCCCUUUACACCUCUGGCCCCAUGGCCGUCUUUCCUGUGGGACACCAGAACACGUGGAAGAACAGCUCCAGGCCUCUGCCACACAAAUGGGCUGCCAUCUCCAUGGUUGGAGUCCCGGGCCCCAAAGGAGUUAGGGCUGAGAUUGGAUCGCUGCAGGCUUGCUCACCCUGCACAGGGAAAUGUGAAUCUGGUGAGCCUCUCCGCUCAGGUGCGUCCCCCUUGCUGCCGGAGGAGCCCCUGCACUCGCUGGCCCUCGUCCUGGCCUCCAUGGUGGGCGGAGAAUGGCACGGUCCUGGCCCAGCUGUCAGGGUCUUCAGGCUUGAGCCUCUGCCGCUGGCUGGGACCCAGUGGGAACCGUAACCUCGGCUGACACGGAGGGAAGGCAGGUUUGCCGCUUGGCUGCUCUGGAAGCUGUGCUGAAUCCCUGCCCAUCUGUUCUCCCAGCUGAGCCAAGGCCAGAGCUGUCUAGCUCUUGCCAACCAGGGGAUGACACGGAGCGUGGAGUCCUGCAGCCCCUGUCCUCGCUGCCCUCUGCAGCCCCUCUCGUCUGCCAGUUGGACUCCCCGCAGGGAGAUGGCCCUGGGCUCACACCUGCUGUUGGUCCACAGAUGUUCAAGUGACGGUCGAAGCUCCCCAGGAAGAUAUCCUGUGCCCAUCUUCUGUGCCCAGCAGAUGGUGGCGCCGAAAGGCAGCAGGAGCCUGGCUCCCCAGCCGCAUCCCAAAGCUGCCAUCACAGCUCUGCGUGUCCUCCUCCCUGCAGCCUCUGCUGUGAAAACCUGAACCCUCGUUUGUUCCAGCCGCCGAGGCCAGGCUCUAUCGUCCACAACUCCUAACUGCUGCAGAGGACAGAAAUGGGAUCAUGAGUCCCGGGGGCCAAAGGCCUGCCUGUUCUUUUCUU